GAUGUUGCUGUUAUACAAUGAUUUAGUUGGAUAUCGCCUAUCUUUCCUAAAAAUUAUCUUUAAUAUGGAGUUUUGUAUUGGGAGAGAAAACUGUGAUUAUUUUCAUUUUUUUUUGAUUGAUUGAUUAGAAGGCUUUGCUUUACUUUUUUCAUUUGUUCCAUCUGCUAUAACCUUAUAAAUUUUUUUAAUAUUAUUUUUAUUGCUUUAUAUUUGAUCCUUAUAAAAAUUAAAUUUCUGUUUCUUAAUUAAAUUGUUUAGUUUAUUUCGAUAAAUUCGAUAAACAUAAAGAAAAAUUUGGCAACAUGGUGUGAGGUACUGUUUACUUUAGUUCCAAAAAGUUGUGAAAUAUCCGGAGGAAACGGCUUAGAAAAUUGUGUAACUUGUGUGUAUUGAUGAUUUAGUGUUUAUAGACAACGUGUGUAUAAAGUGAAAUACAUGCACAUAAUCUAAGAAACAACAAUAUUCGACUAAGUAGUGCUAGAACAAACAUUGCCCUUAGAAACCCAAUCAACGCAGCGACACAAACCUAUAAUGAUCUGUCUUAUGAAAUAAAACAAGAAGUUUCUUAUUAUAAAUUUAUUAGAAUGGUUAAGCAAUCCUUACACUAUUAACAAAGUUACUAAUAUGUAAUUCUAUGGCCACAUUGUUACAAUAACAUAUUUCUUUUAAAUGUAACUUCGGUACCAAUGCUAAUAUAAGCAUUGCUUAGAAGUUUAUUCAUAUAUUGGACUUGUGUGUUUAUUAAGUUUAUGAAAUAGGCAAUAUUAUAAAUAUGUAUUAAGAAAAAAAACGUAAAAAAAAUAAAUUUUGUAACCAGAUAAUUGCUUUAAUAUAUGAAGUGUUUUCAAAAAAAAUUUUAUAAAUAGUGUUUUGUUCUUCGGUAAUUUUUUUUCUAGUAUAUAUCUAUGUUUUAUAGAAGUAAUCAAACCGGUUGUAAUCCAUUCCUUAAUUUUAUUGUGUUUUGAGUAUUUCAUAGGGCAUCUUAAGGUGACAUUUUGCAAGGACUUUUUAAAAAUAUCCAAAAAGGAGUUUGUGGCUUGUUCAGGAUCCUCUGUACCUGACCUAGACUUCUGACCAAUCCUGAGCUGACAAACUCUGUUUUAAGAGAUCAUAAUUUAUAUAUUUGGAAUAGUCUAUUUGUUCUUCAGAAAGUAUUAGUGCUUGCCUCAAGAUUAACAUUUAGCAUAAUUGGGUAGUGGUCUGUUAUAUGAGUAUUCAAGAUAAAUGAUUUAAAUUUUAAAUUAUUUGUUUAAAUUUUUUGUCUGACAAAUAAAUGGUCAAUACAUGGCUGUUUCAUGAGUUACCCUUGUUGGAGAAUUCUGCCGUCCUUAGUUAAAACAUCCUAACUCGCAAAUCGAUAAAGCUGAGAAAAUUGAGAUUUUAUGAAAACUAAUAUGCAGUUCUCAAGUUUUAAAGCAAUUCCCUGGUUCUUUUUAUAUGCUUAGAAAUUUGCUUUUUACAUUUGUGGGUAAAGUUUAAUAAGGGACUAGAUUCAAUAUUUGGUGAAAUUUUUGGAAAAAAAGUUAGAUAGGACUUUUUAACUUAGUAAAGUAAUUAUAAUUGAAAAUAUACAUAUAUAUAUAUUUGGACUGAUUUUUAUUAAAGACACAGGAGUUACAUUUCAAAUUAACAUUAUAACUAAAUUACUAACUAAUAAAACAUUAGAACAUUAAAAACAGUAUGAAAAUAAAUUAUGAAUGGAAAAAGUGCUUUACUCUUACUGGAAAUCUACAUUUUCUUUAUUGUCAGUAUCAUUAUUUUGGGAAACGGCUAAUUCCUCCAGAAUAUCAUUCGGUUAGCCGGAAUCAUAGGACGUAGCUUAGAAAUCAAAUUUUGUUUUUUUUUUAAAUUUUACACCUCGACAUUGUGUUCGGCAAGAAGGUUUUGGUUCUUCCGAAAAGGCAUAUUUGUAGUACAACACAUUUUAUCCCCUUUUAAAGUGCAAAUGUACCAUAUUCUGCAAGUAAGGUUUGAGAACAUUUUUUUGAAGCUUAAACUUGGAUGAACAAUCUUUCCAUUCCAAAAAGGUGUUUUGUAUGUUCAUCUUUUUUACGUGGACCUUAGAUGAGUUUGCCAUUUGUACAGAAGAUUUAAAAUCAUUAAAAUCGAUCACCUUACAGUACCUUUUCAAUAAUUGUUCUACUUGGUGAUGGAACGAGUCCGCGGACAUAAAAGUGUGGCCAGAUGAAAAUAUUUUAUUUCCAAAUUCUGCAGUUCAGUUUCGAUAGAGCUUACAACAUAAACAAAAAGAAAAUAAAGCCCAAUUUUUGUUUUGAGCUGCACAUUCGUCAAGCCAGAUCGUAACAUAAGUCUCUGUUAUAUUAAAAAAAAAAUAAAAAAAAAGGUGAAAUUAAAUCUUCCUUAUUUCGACCCGCAACCCCUUUGCUUAGCACUUUUCGAAUAUGCCCCUACUAGCAUAUUCGAAAGCAUUUCAUAGAGUUUGAAACCUAGACUAUAAAUCCAGGCAUAUUUUCAUUUAGGCUCUUUUUUUACGACUCUUAGAAUUUUUCACCUGACUUUUGUUGGCUCUACACAACCCUUCCUAUAUACCGAUUUUUUCCAAAAACCAUACAGUUCUCAAGCCUCCAUUGAACUUUUAGUCCUGGAAAUUUCAAGCGGUUUGAAGGUUUCGAAUUUGAGUUAUUGCGUUUCAAAGAAUUUGACAUUAUGCCUCCUGUUUUGAACAACUUUUAGAUUCUUGUCUUCCAGAGACACCUGAAAACCCUAAAUAUAAAAAAAAAGACUUAAGAGUCAAAAAUCUAGGGUAAGAGUAGCCAUUGACAGGCUGACCUUAUAUUAUACUUCUGAAUGCACAAGGUGUGUCUCUCUCGUCUCAUCAAUGAAUAUUCUACAAACGGAAAGCUACUUAGGACAUUUAAACUUAGAAAAAGAUAGAUAGGACAUUUUAAUUUGGGAUUAUCGUCUUUUCUGCACAUCGAACAAUAUAUUUAGGUGAAUUUAAGGCAUAAAAAAUGUAGUUAGGACUUUCUAAUUUAGCCAAGGAGGCAGAUACCAUUUGAUAGGUCAAUAAAAUGUAAUAAGCCAAAAAAAGAAAAUUUUGUAGUUAGGACGUUUUAACUAUUAAUUAUGUGGGAUAAAAAACCAUUUUGGCCCAUUAGAGAGAGAUAUUCAUUUACAACAGGAUUUUGUUUGUUUUCUAUAUUAAUAUUCAAAUCGCCAGUAAAAAUUUCAAUAUUUUAUAGAAGCCUGUGAUAAAUUUAGUUUUAUAUGAUUUACAUCAACAUUCAGUGUUUGUUUCUCGGACAAAAAUUAGCAAACCAUCAUUUUUGUUAAAAUCACCAUUGUUAUAAAAGGUAUUGUAUCCUGGUAUGUUGUACAUAUUACAAGUUAGAAUUUGAAAACAUUCACUUAAAAUAAAUAUAUCACAAUAAUACAGUUGAUAACGUUCUAUAAACAAAAGUAAUUCAUCAAAGUUUUUUUUGUAUAUAUUUAAUAUUUAAAUGUAAUAUAUUUAUGACCUUGUUUUUUAGCAAAAUUUGUUUUUUUAAUAAUACGUCGUUUACUAGUGUCCCACGCUCCUCCGCACUCAAUCUGUCCAAUAUUUCAUCUUGUGGGGGUUUAAACAUUAUGAGUUGUAUUCAAUCUUACUUUUAAGUAUGUCCAAUUGGUAAUUGUAGCUUGGACAGUUUGGGUCCGACGUUGCAUGUGACACACUGUAUGAGAAUUUGUAUUUUUUGUUUGCUUCUGUACAGUUAUUGUACUUUUUUAUUGCUUUGUCACAUUUUUCGAUUUCAUGAUUACCUGCACAGUAUUCACAUACCUUAUUUUUAUUACAUUUGUUAUUUUUAUGGUAAAAUUCCUGACAAUUAUAGCACCUUGUGACACUCAAGUUCUCUUAUAUUGGACAACGCUGCCAUCCAAUAUGUACCUUUUUGUAUUGCAUGUAUUUUUGAAACAUAGCUCCUGAACACUCUGCGAAAAUAGUUGCUUCCAUGUUCCUUUUUUUUCUCACAUAUGUUAUUUUAAGUUCAUCUGUGUCGGUAAUCCAUUCAUUUUGGUUUCUUAUGAUUUUCUCUAUUUGUUGUUCAGAUUCAUUGCCUUCAUAUCCUGGAAUUUUUAUCUUUGGUCUCAUCAUUGUUGUUGAUUUUAUUUCAUAUUUAUUUUGUAAUUUUCCUACAGCAGCUUUUUUUAAAUCUUCAACUUCCUGCUUGGUUAGAUAUUUAAUGACCAUGUUCCCAUUUCCUGUUGCGCUCAUACUUCUUAUACCAAUGUUUAGUUCGGAAAGAUUAAUUUUCUUAGUUAUCUCUUCUUUUGUUUUUGCUACAUCUUGGAGUUGUUUCGGACGGAUAAUCACAUUUGGAUUAUUAAUCCUGUUCUGCACUGUUGGCUUGCUUGUAACUCCUGCAUAACUGUUUUCAGAGAGAUCAUAAAUAUUUUCAUUUUCCUUUACUUUUUUUAUUUCUUCAAUUUGAGCUUUUAACAUGCUUAUAAUUUCAUUCUUAUUAUUAAUAUUUGCAUUUUUGCUAUCUAUGACUUCUUGCAAUAGUUCAAAUGUAUAAUGUUUUGUGCAUGUAGCAAUUAAAUUUCAUGACCCUUUUUCCAAGUAGCUUUAAGACUUUAACUUCCGAUGCGGAUAAACCACCACAAGAUUUACAUAUAUGGUUUUUACAGCCAUCACAAUUAAAGACUUCUUUCGACUUAGUCUCUUCACAAAUUACACACUCCAUUAGGGAUCAUCGAUCACUGUCUUUAUUGUCUAUAAAUGGGCAAUAUUAAACAAAAACAUAAAGUAAUUUUCUAAAUUACCACUUUUUAAGGAAAAACAAAUCUUUAAGCUAUAAACAACAUGACAUUUAUCUGAAGCAAACUAAAUUUUGAGCAAUGGUAGAUGUGGGUAAACCAUCAUUUUUUAGUUUAACUAUGAGUCCCCGCUUUUCUCGGCCACAAUGUUUCUUUCUACCCACUUAAAAAAAAGCAGUUUAGUCAAUAUUAUAAUACUCUAAAUAAAGCAAGAACAACUUACUUGUAGUGAAAAUUAUUUUAACAAAAUUUAAAUGAUGUGCUAUGUAUGUAUAUUUUUACUUAUAAAGCGAUAAAAAUACAAAUAUUUUAUUAUUGCUCAUUUUUUGUUUUCUUUUGGGGGAUUCUUUUGGGUAUUGGUAUUGGUUUACCUUGUAUUCAUUUAAAUUUAUUCUAUUGGUGUUUUUUAUGAUUUUAUGAUUUUUUAUUUUUAUGAUUCUAGUUUGCCCACAAUAACACCUACAAUUUAACCCAUGUUAAAAAUAAUUCUACGCUCCUUUUAUAAAUGUGUUUUAAUUAUAACUAAAGAAACCUAGACUUAGCGUCCUAAGUGUCCUAGGUAAACAGGUUUCUGUUUUAUUUCUGACCCCACCCAACAACCCUCCGCAAUAAUAAACAUUGAUGGUUAUCAGUUGGACCAGUGUACCACAACAAACAAGAGAGCUGGUGGGGUGAUGGCGCUUGUACGAAACGAUAUCAAAUAUAAGAUCUGUGAUACAGAGUGUGUUCAAAAGUAUAUCUGGUUAUUGUCCCUAGAUUUAAUAGAAUAAAACAUAAAAAGGACAAAUAUUUCAGAGAGGCAAUAGAUGAAAAUAAACAAAAUUCAAGUGAAAACACUUGAAGACAUUACUCCCGAAAAAAAGUGUAUCUAGACCGAAGGAAAUUAUCUUUGAACAGGGACCACUGAGCACGGAUAAGGAUAUAGCCAAUAAAUUUAAUUAAAUAAAAAGUAUUUUGUGGAGAGCAUAUCGGCAAUAAAUCGACCAUCUGCUAAUUUCACAUACUUCAAUCUAAAUGAAAGCGUGGAGAAUCACAUCUUUAAAGAUUUCACUUGGUUUGAAAAUGUUUCAAUGGUUGACCUAAGAAGAAUAGUGAGUGGAAUGAAAAAUUUUGGUGGCGGUGAAUCUGAUAUUUCAGCACGGGUUUUUAAAGAUGCUUUUGCAGUGGUUGGAAACCGAAUAUUAGAUGUUAUAAAUACAUAAUUAUCUAAAGGGCAUUUUCCAAAGGAAUGGAAGUCAUCUCUGGUAGUUCCGGUACCGAAGGUUCCAAGUAUUAAACAGCACUCGAGUUUUAGACCGAUCAAUACUGUGCCAGUAUACGAGAAAGUAUUAGGACCCAUUGCCAAUGAGCAGCUACAGAGACAUUGUGAUUAGAAUAAUAUAAUUGUUUCUGGUCAAACGGGAUUUCGAGCAGGUGAUUCUUGCGAGACUGUGAUGGUUAGCAUCUGUGAUGAGUUUGUUAGUGCAAUUGAUGACAAUAAUCUAGUUUUGGCUGUAUUUGUAGAUUUCAGAAGAGCUUUCGAGAUUGUUGAUAGGGAUAUUUCGAUUGAUAAAUUAGAGAAUUUAAGUAUAAAGCACUUAGCCUUGAAUUGGUUAAAAUCCUACUUAUCAGGUAGGAUACAAAAAGUAAAGUAUGAAUCUAUCUUGGUGAAAUAUGGAGUAUCACAGGGGACUGUUUUAGGGCCCUCGUUGUUUCUUCUGUUUAUAUAUGAUAUAGUCAAAGUUGUAAAAAAUUGUAAAAUUACAUUAAUUGCUGACGAUACAAUGGUAUGUGUCGUUGGUAAUAAAAUCGAACAAAUGCAGCAAGAUAUCAAUAAUGACUUAAAUCCACUGUUUUUAUGGCUGUGUAAAAAUAGUUUUAGCAUUAAUGACCUAAAAUCGAAAUUCUGGGUGUAUGGCAAAAAACAUAGAUUAAGUUUGGUGAAUGUGGAACAUUUUAAUAUUAAUAUAAAUGGCGUUAAAUUAUAGUAUGAGCAACAUAUGAAAUAUCUUGGAAUAGUAUUAGAUUCUCAGUUGAACUUUUAUGCUCAUUGUGAUUAUAUAUUAAGAAUAUUUUCGCAAAAGGUUGGUUUUGUAUCUCGAAUUGCAAAAAAUUUUACAACGUAUACGAAAUUAUUACUUUAUAAUAGCUUAGCGUCACCCCAUUUACAAUACUGUUCAACUUUAUUGUUCAGUAUACCCAAUUAUAAAAUAGCCAAAUUUCAGAUAGUACAAAACAGAGCAAUGCGCGCAAUCCCGAAAUGCAAUAGAUAUACACCUGUGAUAACUAUGUUAAAUGUCUUGCAAUUAUUCUGUGUAAAGCAAAAAAUAAUGCUUAAUGCUUUUAAAUUUAUAUUUAAGAUUAAAAAUAUAAUGUUACCUAGUACAUUUGUGAUACAGUUAAAUGCGUUAUGAAUGUUCAUGACUAUUAUAUCAGAAACCGUAAUGAUUUCAUCCUAGUCAAUCGAUGCAACACCUCACAAAUGUUGAACAGUAUUCUGAAUAAAGGUUUGUUAGAGUUUAAUUGACUGCCAAAAAAUAUUAAAGAAUGUAAAAAUGUUAAUGCAUUUAAAAGAUUAAUUAAAAAUUAUGUCUUGUCUGAAAUUGUAUCCUAAUUGAUUUAUAAAAAUAAUUGUUUUGUUGUAUUUAUCUCUUGUCUUGUCUGAAACUAUGACUAUGUUAACGGUUUUAAAGGACUCUAAUUUGCUAUUAUCAUUUUAUUAUAUUUAUCAUUUUGUAUGAUUAAUUAGUUCUUAGGUAAUUUUCUAUAGGUUUUAUAUGUAAUGUUGGUUUUUUCUAGGUUUUAUGUAUAGUAUUUUAAUAAUUCUAUUUUAUAGUAUCUUUUAUUAUUCGACGUGCUCCACAGUUGGGUUGUGACUUGACUCCUUGACGGGAUACUUCUGGAAAACCGGAGGCUGCGAUUGUCCAUGGAAUACCGGGACGAUCCAAGAUGUCUCCAGGAAAAUAACCGAGGUGCCCUGUUUAGCCUGAGACAAUAAAGACGACCUAGAAAACAUGUGUCAAAAAAAUGCUCGAAACAUCAACACGAGCCGACCAUGAGAUGCAACAUCAGUACUAUCAUCGAAUGUUGAUAAAUCAAAGAAAGUGGAGCGGAACGAUUUACCUAUUUAAUUAUAUUAUGUAGAUUGGAUAGUCAAGGAUACAUUAUUGUUAUUAUAAUUUUCGCAUACCUAUACCAUAUUAUGUCAUAAUUAAAUAUUUUAGAUCUUCAUGUAUGCUAUUACAUUAUAAGAUUUAUAUUGUUUUCUUGUAGCAUUAUGCUAAAUAAAUGCAUUAUUAUUGUUA